rnacentral:rRNA from 1 species
UACGUAGGGGGCGAGCGUUGUCCGGAUUUAUUGGGCGUAAAGGGUGCGUAGGUGGCGCUGUAAGUCGGGUGUGAAAUUUCGGAGCUUAACUCCGAAACUGCAUUCGAUACUGCGGUGCUUGAGGACUGGAGAGGAGACUGGAAUUCAUGGUGUAGCAGUGAAAUGCGUAGAGAUCAUGAGGAAGACCAGUGGCGAAGGCGGGUCUCUGGACAGUUCCUGACACUGAGGCACGAAGGCCAGGGGGAGCAAACGGG